GAGACGCUGGCGGCGUGGAUUAGGCAUGCAAGUCGGACGUAGGGCUUUAUCGUAAGAUAGAGUUUGAGAGUGGCGAAACGGGUGAGUAACACGUAGGAAUCUACCCUUAAGACGGGGGACAACCCAGGGAAAACUUGGGCUAAUACCGGAUGAGAGUGCGAGAGAUUGCUUUAAAAGGAUGGCGAAAGUUGUCGCUUAGGGAUGAGCCUGCGGUCUAUUAGUUAGUUGGUGAGGUAAGAGCUCACCAAGGCGAUGAUAGAUAGGCGGCCUUAACGGGUGGUCGCCCACACUGGGAUUGAGAUACGGCCCAGACUCCUACGGGAGGCAGCAGUCGAGAAUAGUCUACAAUGGCCGGAAGGCUGAUAGUGCGACGCCGCGUGAACGAGGGAGCCCUUCGGGGUGUAAAGUUCUUUUCUAUACGAGCAGUGCUAUAUAUAUGGAUAGUAUAUAUAGAGGGAUAGUAGUAUAGGAAUAAGCAACGGCUAACUCCGUG
rnacentral:rRNA from 1 species